rnacentral:rRNA from 1 species
UACGUAGGGUGCAAGCGUUGUCCGGAAUUAUUGGGCGUAAAGAGCUCGUAGGCGGUUUGUCGCGUCUGCUGUGAAAACGCGAGGCUCAACCUCGCGCCUGCAGUGGGUACGGGCAGACUAGAGUGUGGUAGGGGAGAUUGGAAUUCCUGGUGUAGCGGUGGAAUGCGCAGAUAUCAGGAGGAACACCGGUGGCGAAGGCGGUUCUCCUGGGCCUGUACUGACGCUGAGGAGCGAAAGCGUGGGGAGCGAACAGG